rnacentral:rRNA from 1 species
AUUGAACGCUGGCGGCAGGCCUAACACAUGCAAGUCGAACGAGUGGCGGACGGGUGAGUAAUGUCUGGGAAUCUGCCUGAGGGAGGGGGAUAACUACUGGAAACGGUAGCUAAUACCGCAUACCAUCGGAUGUGCCCAGGUGGGUUUAGAGAGUAGGGGGGGUAAAGGCUCACCUAGGCGACGAUCCCUAGCUGGUCUGAGAGGAUGACCAGGCACACUGGAACUGAGACACGGUCCAGACUCCUACGUGAGGCAGCAGUGGGGAAUAUUGCACAAUGGGCGAAAGCCUGAUGCAGCCAUGCCGCGUGUGUGAAGAAGGCCUUCGGGUUGUAAAGUACUUUCAGCGGGGAGGCGUUACCCGCAGAAGAAGCACCGGCUAACUCCGUGCCAGCAGCCGCGGUAAUUC